GAUGAACGCUGGCGGCGUGCCUAAUACAUGCAAGUCGAGCGAACAGACGAGGAGCUUGCUCCUCUGACGUUAGCGGCGGACGGGUGAGUAACACGUGGAUAACCUACCUAUAAGACUGGGAUAACUUCGGGAAACCGGAGCUAAUACCAGAUAAUAUAUUGAACCGCAUGGUUCAAUAGUGAAUGACGGCUUUGCUGUCACUUAUAGAUGGAUCCGCGCCGCAUUAGCUAGUUGGUAAGGUAACGGCUUACCAAGGCAACGAUGCGUAGCCGACCUGAGAGGGUGAUCGGCCACACUGGAACUGAGACACGGUCCAGACUCCUACGGGAGGCAGCAGUAGGGAAUCUUCCGCAAUGGGCGAAAGCCUGACGGAGCAACGCCGCGUGAGUGAUGAAGGUCUUCGGAUCGUAAAACUCUGUUAUUAGGGAAGAACAAAUGUGUAAGUAACUAUGCACGUCUUGACGGUACCUAAUCAGAAAGCCACGGCUAACUACGUG
rnacentral:rRNA from 1 species